CACCUGCCCUGCAGCAGCCCACUCCCAGACAUCUGCGAACUGUGGUCAUCCAUCCCAGGUUCAGAUUCCUGGGACUCAAGCUCUAGAGAUGCUGUUGGCCAUUCAGUCAUAGGUGUUCAAGUGGCUACAUUUUGAGAAACACUUACACAGACAAGAGUCCAGGUCAAGGUCAGAUUUUGUUCUUUCAAGGGCUCCAUGACCAGGAAGUUGUCUGAUCACCACGCGGGGAGGAGGAGUCUGAGCGAACCCAGUACAGGAUCCUGCAGUGUGGUAUUCCUCCAACUUUACAGUGAUCCCCGUCGUCUAGAGGGCAUGGGAAAACAACUGGCUGGACCUUGCUCCCAGAGUUUCAAGUUCAUCACGUGUCUUCCCCAUAAAACACUGCCCCUGGAACCUGUUGGUGAGGUGCUUUUAAUCACCUUGGGUUCAGCAUUACCUGAUUUGAACCCACGUACGCUCAAACUCGUUUG